rnacentral:rRNA from 1 species
GACGAACGCUGGCGGCGUGCUUAACACAUGCAAGUCGAACGGAAAGGCCCUGCUUUUGUGGGGUGCUCGAGUGGCGAACGGGUGAGUAACACGUGAGUAACCUGCCCUUGACUUUGGGAUAACUUCAGGAAACUGGGGCUAAUACCGGAUAGGAGCUCCUGCUGCAUGGUGGGGGUUGGAAAGUUUCGGCGGUUGGGGAUGGACUCGCGGCUUAUCAGCUUGUUGGUGGGGUAGUGGCUUACCAAGGCUUUGACGGGUAGCCGGCCUGCGAGGGUGACCGGCCACAUUGGGACUGAGAUACGGCCCAGACUCCUACGGGAGGCAGCAGUGGGAAAUAUUGCACAAUGGGCGGAAGCCUGAUGCAGCAACGCCGCGUGCGGGAUGACGGCCUUCGGGUUGUAAACCGCUUUCGCCUGUGACGAAGCGGGAGUGACGGUAAUGGGUAAAGAAGCACCGGCUAACUACGUG